CAGUCGAACGGACUUACAUUGAAGCCUAGCGAUAUGUAAGUUAGUGGCGGACGGCUGUGUAACGCGUGGGUAACCUGCCUUGUACUGGGGGACAACAGUUGGAAACGACUGCUAAUACCGCAUAAGCGCACAGCUUCGCAUGAAGCAGUGUGAAAAACUCCGGUGGUACAAGAUGGACCCGCGUCUGAUUAGCUGGUUGGUGAGGUAACGGCCCACCAAGGCGACGAUCAGUAGCCGGCCUGAGAGGGUGAACGGCCACAUUGGGACUGAGACACGGCCCAAACUCCUACGGGAGGCAGCAGUGGGGAAUAUUGCACAAUGGGGGAAACCCUGAUGCAGCAACGCCGCGUGAGUGAAGAAGUAUUUCGGUAUGUAAAGCUCUAUCAGCAGGAAAGAAAAUGACGGUACCUGACUAAGAAGCCCCGGCUAACUACGUGCCAGCAGCCGCGGUAAUACGUAGGGGGCAAGCGUUAUCCGGAUUUACUGGGUGUAAAGGGAGCGUAGACGGUUUUGCAAGUCUGAAGUGAAAGCCCGGGGCUUAACCCCGGGACUGCUUUGGAAACUGUAGGACUAGAGUGCAGGAGAGGUAAGUGGAAUUCCUAGUGUAGCGGUGAAAUGCGUAGAUAUUAGGAGGAACACCAGUGGCGAAGGCGGCUUACUGGACUGUAACUGGCGUUGAGGCUCGAAAGCGUGGGGAGCAAACAGGAUUAGAUACCCUGGUAGUCCACGCCGUAAACGAUGAUUACUAGGUGUUGGUGGGUAUGACCCAUCGG
rnacentral:rRNA from 1 species